rnacentral:lncRNA from 1 species
UUCAGACGACUGGACCUCACUUUGACUGCAGGCUAAUAUCAGAAGAGGAGGCGAGCGGGGAGGAUUUCGGCCCAUAAAUCCGCCACCACACCCAGCAUCAACUCGUUGGAGAGCGAGGAAGCUUUUCCAGCUGGAGAUCAAAGAGUUUCACCUUCCUGAUUAGAAUGCGGGUCGGCUCAACUUUCAGAUGCCGCGGCGCUGCUCCGGGCUGGCGUAAGAGGAUUACACAUCUGACUUGUUCAACUAUACACACGAGGAAACGCACAACACGGUCGCAG